UUGUAUUUCUUGUGUGUACACCCUAUCAUGACACUACCUGAGCCCUGGACUGGCCAGAGGUGUGCUGUGCUGAACUGAUGCCUAACAUGUUUGGCCUGAGCAAUGGGUGUCUCCCACAUACAGUCUGACAGAAGGGAAAAGAGGCGUUCAACAACCUAUUUAUUGAAGGAAAAAGAAUGAUGAAAUUUGUAAAGGUGAUUUUAAGUAAUAUUAGAAAAGAUAAAUCAUGUAAGUAAUACUAAGUCACAUGUAAAAUUUCAUCAUACCAAAGUCAACAACUACUUUCAGUGGUUGGCUAUAAUUUAAAUAUCUUGUUUCUAGAAAGAUCGCUAAUCCACUAGAAAGUGGGUCCCACUACCCUCAUGUUUCUUCGCUACAUGGACCUCUGAUGAAGACACACAACCUCACACACUUCUCUCUCUAAAGGCCCAAACCUAGGAAGAAAUUCCACAGAUCUUCCUUUCCUUCUGACCUUUUAAGUAUUCACUAUCUCCUUACUCCUCACACCCAUAACUUAAUUUCUCUUUCUCCUUGCUUGGAAAUUAAAUAAUAAA